AGAUUGAACGCUGGCGGCAGGCCUAACACAUGCAAGUCGAGCGGUAGAGAGGUGCUUGCACCUCUUGAGAGCGGCGGACGGGUGAGUAAUGCCUAGGAAUCUGCCUAGUGGUGGGGGAUAACGUUCGGAAACGGACGCUAAUACCGCAUACGUCCUACGGGAGAAAGCGGGGGACCUUCGGGCCUCGCGCCAUUAGAUGAGCCUAGGUCGGAUUAGCUAGUUGGUGAGGUAAUGGCUCACCAAGGCGACGAUCCGUAACUGGUCUGAGAGGAUGAUCAGUCACACUGGAACUGAGACACGGUCCAGACUCCUACGGGAGCAGCAGUGGGAAUAUUGGACAAUGGGCGAAAGCCUGAUCCAGCCAUGCCGCGUGUGUGAAGAAGGUCUUCGGAUUGUAAAAGCACUUUAAGUUGGAGAAGGUUGUAACUUAAUACGUUGCAACUUUGACGUUACCGACAGAAUAAGCACCGGCUAAACUUCGUGCCAGCAGCCGCGGUAA
rnacentral:rRNA from 1 species